rnacentral:rRNA from 1 species
AUACGGAGGGUGCAAGCGUUAAUCGGAAUUACUGGGCGUAAAGCGCGCGUAGGCGGUUUUGUAAGUCGGAUGUGAAAGCCCAGGGCUUAACCUUGGAAUUGCAUUCGAAACUGCAUGACUAGAGUAUGGUAGAGGGAAGUGGAAUUCCAGGUGUAGCGGUGAAAUGCGUAGAUAUCUGGAGGAACAUCAGUGGCGAAGGCGACUUCCUGGACCAAUACUGACGCUGAGGUGCGAAAGCGUGGGGAGCAAACAGGAUUAGAUACCCUAGUAGUCC